rnacentral:rRNA from 1 species
CCUACGGGAGGCAGCAGUGGGGAAUCUUGCGCAAUGGGCGGAAGCCUGACGCAGCAACGCCGCGUGUGGGAAGACGGCUUUCGGGUUGUAAACCACUUUCAGGGGGGACGAAGCUUCCGAGGUUAAUAGCCUACGGGGUGACGGUACCCCCAGAAGAAGCCCCGGCUAACUACGUGCCAGCAGCCGCGGUAAUACGUAGGGGGCGAGCGUUGUCCGGAAUCAUUGGGCGUAAAGCGCGUGUAGGCGGCUUGAUAAGUCUGGUGUGAAAUCUUGGGGCUUAACCCCAAGCCUGCACUGGAUACUGUCAAGCUUGAGUCCGGGAGGGGAGAGCGGAAUUCCUAGUGUAGCGGUGAAAUGCGCAGAUAUUAGGAAGAACACCGGUGGCGAAGGCGGCUCUCUGGAACGGUACUGACGCUGAGACGCGAAAGCGUGGGGAGCGAACAGGAUUAGAUACCCUGGUAGUCCACGCCGUAAACGAUGGGCACUAGAUGUGGGCGGUGUCGACUCCGUCCGUGUCGAAGCUAACGCAUUAAGUGCCCCGCCUGGGGAGUACGGCCGCAAGGCUAAAACUCAAAUGAAUUGACGG